rnacentral:ncRNA from 1 species
UCUGCCCAGUGUUCUGAAUGCCAAAGUGAAGAAACUCAACAACCAUCAGACAAAGGGUAAGAGCAACUAUGGCCCUCUUCAGGUAGCCAAAUCCCUCCUCCUCUAAUAAGUAAUGCAUAUAAAUAG